CAGUUGUCCCGACAGCAUGAGGCACAGCUGCAUGAACAUAUCAAGCAGCAGCAGGAGAUGCUGGCCAUGAAGCACCAGCAGGAGCUGCUGGAGCACCAGCGGAAACUGGAGCGGCACCGGCAAGAGCAGGAGCUGGAGAAGCAGCACCGUGAGCAGAAGCUGCAGCAGCUCAAGAACAAGGAGAAGGGCAAAGAGAGUGAGUGCUGGUGGGCACAGUGAGGACUCAGGGCUGGCCCCGCUGCCUCUGUUGCCUGUGCUGCUUCCCCAGGCAGCUCUGGAGGGGCUUGUCACCCCACGCAUGAGUCAUCAGUGUCUUCAGGGUGAUUGUUUCAGGUCACUUUAAUUGGGUCUGGAGGCCAACCAAUGACCCUGCUUCUGACUUCAUCCAGGUGUCAAGGAAGACUCUGUAUCAGCCUGAGUGCGGGGCAUUUUGGGGCUCCCGUGUGGAGUCAGGCAUCUUCAGACUGCUCGGCAGUACUCUUCAUAGAUGCACAGAAUAUUAAAGCCGUAAAGCACAUC
rnacentral:lncRNA from 1 species